GGCACAGUGGUGCAGUGGGUAGCACUGUUUCCACACAGCAAGAGGGUCGUGGGUUUGAACCUCGGCCUGUGCCU
rnacentral:tRNA from 1 species